rnacentral:rRNA from 1 species
AGUAGCAAUACUUAGUGGCAGACGGGUGAGUAACAUGUGGGUAUCUACCCUUUGGCCUGGAAUAACACGAGGAAACUUGUGCUAAUACCGGAUGAUGACGAAAGUCCAAAGAUUUAUCGCCCAGGGAUGAGCCCGCACUUGAUUAGUUUGUUGGUGGGGUAAUGGCCUACCAAGACUGUGAUCAAUAGCUGAUUUGAGAGGAUGAUCAGCCACAUUGGGACUGAGACACGGCCCAAACUCCUACGGGGGGCAGCAGUGGGGAAUCUUGCACAAUGGAGGAAACUCUGAUGCAGCGAUGCCGCGUGAGUGAAGAAGGCCUUUGGGUUGUAAAGCUCUUUCGUCGGGGAAGAAAAUGACUGUACCCGAAUAAGAAGGUCCGGCUAACUUCGUGCCAGCAGCCGCGGUAAUACGAAGGGACCUAGCGUAGUUCGGAAUUACUGGGCUUAAAGAGUUCGUAGGUGGUUAAAAUAGUUGGUGGUGAAAUCCCAGAGCUUAACUCUGGAACUGCCAUCAAAACUUUUUAGCUAGAGUAUGAUAGAGGAAAGUAGAAUUUCUAGUGUAGAGGUGAAAUUCGUAGAUAUUAGAAAGAAUACCGAUUGCGAAGGCAGCUUUCUGGAUCAUUACUGACACUGAGGAACGAAAGCAUGGGUAGCGAAGAGGAUUAGAUACCCUCGUAGUCCAUGCCGUA